AUGACGGAUGGGCUCGCGUUGUGUGCUUGUUGCCUAGGUUCUUUGUCCCUGCGUGUAGGAAGUAUUGGCCAAUCUGCUCCACGCGUUCCGCAUCCAAUCCUACCCUCGCCUCGUCCCACUCCCACUUCAGCCGCCAGACAAACCCUAGCUCCCUUUCCUAUCCACACAACCUCUUCCUCCCCGCAUCACCACAGCUGCCGCUGUGGAGCCUCGCGGACGCCUGCUAUUACUCCUCCCUCGUCUCUGUCUGGUCGCCCUCUCGUGCUCCACCAUGCAGCCGCCUCUUCCUCCUCUAUUCCCUCCUACCGUGGUUCCGGAUCGGGUGCAGGCCGUCAUACUGGAGAGCAUGAGCGUCAAGGUCUUAAUGGUGGGGUGGAGAUGCAGGGGAGGGGUUGCAAGAGAAGGAGCUCAAGUUGGUUCACGGUUUGCCUUUGCAUCCUCUCUACCCACUUCCCUCACUCACGCCUCCCCCUUUUCUCAUGGAUGAGGGCUCGGCUGCAGGUUUGGGAUGGAAUUGUUGGAUAUCCAAAUGUUUGUGAAUUAUCCUUGAUUAAUUGCUUGCUAAAACAAAGAAUGCAUCCAGCAGCACCUCGACCAGGUGUCACAAGAGAACUGAACAGAUUGAGAACUCAAGAAGUAGAACAACUGUGUUUCACUUCUUCAGAUGAUUAUAUGAAGGAUGGAAGCUUCGAAUGGCUAGCAGAACCGAGGCCGCAGGGACACCGUCGCAUUGAGGUAGUGCCAUGGCCUGCCACAGGCUUUGACUCGGUGUUGCGUGAUGGAAGAGCAGUGGUAAAGUUCGACAGCAUUGAAGCGAGAUGUGAGAUCCCAGCGCUCCAAAUGAUGGGUCGUGGCCGUUGGAGGGCCAACAGAGGACAAGGGCUAACAACCGGUGGUGGAGGGAGAGUCUGAGAAAUCAUGAGCUUUUUCCUUAUGAAAAGUGAUAAAGUUACAACAUAGUUUUCUCAAAGGUGUGCAUCAGUGCAGAUUGAGCAAGGCACAAUCUGAGAAGAAAAACAAAAAAUUAGAAACAGUGCAUCAUGUGUAUGUUUGUGAGCGGUGCCGUUGGGGGCCUGGUUGUGGCGCAGCCCUUCGGCGUGGUGCCCUCUUGCGUUGCCGCUAUGGUCGCCUCACGUUGGACGGGAGGAGAUAAGUCAAUCCCCAAUUAAGAUGCACAAUUAAGAUCCCCAAUUAAAUUGGUCACAUCAUUAUGGAAGGGGAAUGAUUGGAUAACAAACUUUAUAGAUUUAGUAUCAUAUCAUUCAUU
rnacentral:rRNA from 1 species